rnacentral:rRNA from 1 species
AGAGUUUGAUCCUGGCUCAGGAUGAACGCUGGCGGCGUGCCUAACACAUGCAAGUCGAGCGAUUUACUUCGGUAAAGAGCGGCGGACGGGUGAGUAACGCGUGGGUAACCUGCCCUGUACACACGGAUAACAUACCGAAAGGUAUGCUAAUACGAGAUAAUAUGCUUUUAUCGCAUGGUAGAAGUAUCAAAGCUUUUGCGGUACAGGAUGGACCCGCGUCUGAUUAGCUAGUUGGUAAGGUAACGGCUUACCAAGGCGACGAUCAGUAGCCGACCUGAGAGGGUGAUCGGCCACAUUGGAACUGAGAUACGGUCCAAACUCCUACGGGAGGCAGCAGUGGGGAAUAUUGCACAAUGGGCGAAAGCCUGAUGCAGCAACGCCGCGUGAGCGAUGAAGGCCUUCGGGUCGUAAAGCUCUGUCCUCAAGGAAGAUAAUGACGG